rnacentral:rRNA from 1 species
UACGAAGGGGGCUAGCGUUGCUCGGAAUCACUGGGCGUAAAGCGCACGUAGGCGGAUCUUUAAGUCAGGGGUGAAAUCCUGGAGCUCAACUCCAGAACUGCCUUUGAUACUGGGGAUCUCGAGUCCGGAAGAGGUGAGUGGAACUCCGAGUGUAGAGGUGAAAUUCGUAGAUAUUGGAAGAACACCAGUGGCGAAGGCGGCUCACUGGUCCGGUACUGACGCUGAGGUGCGAAAGCGAUGGGGAGCAA